AAUGAACGCUGGCGGCAUGCCUAACACAUGCAAGUCGAACGAAGGCUUCGGCCUUAGUGGCGCACGGGUGCGUAACGCGUGGGAAUCUGCCCUUAGGUUCGGAAUAACAGCGAGAAAUUGCUGCUAAUACCGGAUGAUAUCGCGAGAUCAAAGAUUUAUCGCCUGAGGAUGAGCCCGCGUAGGAUUAGCUAGUUGGUGUGGUAAAGGCGCACCAAGGCGACGAUCCUGAGCUGGUCUGGGAGGAUGAACAGCCACACUGGGACUGGGACACGGCCCAGACUCCUACGGGAGGCAGCAGUGGGGAAUAUUGGACAAUGGGCGAAAGCCUGAUCCAGCAAUACCGCGUGAGUGAUGAAGGCCUUAGGGUCGUAAAGCUCUUUUACCCGGGAUGAUAAUGACAGUACCGGGAGAAUAGGCUCCGGCUAACUCCGUGCCAGCAGCCGCCGUAA
rnacentral:rRNA from 1 species